rnacentral:tRNA from 1 species
GGCCCAUCGUUUACUGGAAACAUAGGACUUUGAAAGUCCUAAUCAAGACGUUCAACUCGUCUAUGCGCCU